GAUGAACGCUGGCGGCGUGCCUAAUACAUGCAAGUCGAGCGAACAGACGAGGAGCUUGCUCCUCUGACGUUAGCGGCGGACGGGUGAGUAACACGUGGAUAACCUACCUAUAAGACUGGGAUAACUUCGGGAAACCGGAGCUAAUACCGGAUAAUAUAUUGAACCGCAUGGUUCAAUAGUGAAAGACGGUUUUGCUGUCACUUAUAGAUGGAUCCGCGCCGCAUUAGCCAGUUGGUAAGGUAACGGCUUACCAAGGCGACGAUGCGUAGCCGACCUGAGAGGGUGAUCGGCCACACUGGAACUGAGACACGGUCCAGACUCCUACGGGAGGCAGCAGUAGGGAAUCUUCCGCAAUGGGCGAAAGCCUGACGGAGCAACGCCGCGUGAGUGAUGAAGGUCUUCGGAUCGUAAAACUCUGUUAUUAGGGAAGAACAUAUGUGUAAGUAACUGUGCACAUCUUGACGGUACCUAAUCAGAAAGCCACGGCUAACUACGUG
rnacentral:rRNA from 1 species